UAUCGUUUAUUUGAUAGUACCUUACUACAUGGAUACCUGUGGUAAUUCUAGAGCUAAUACAUGCUAAAAACCCCGACUUCAGGAAGGGGUGUAUUUAUUAGAUAAAAAACCAACGCCCUUCGGGGCUCCUUGGUGAAUCAUAAUAACUUAACGAAUCGCAUGGCCUUGCGCCGGCGAUGGUUCAUUCAAAUUUCUGCCCUAUCAACUUUCGAUGGUAGGAUAGUGACCUACCAUGGUGGCAACGGGUAACGGGGAAUUAGGGUUCGAUUCCGGAGAGGGAGCCUGAGAAACGGCUACCACA
rnacentral:rRNA from 1 species